CGGCGCAUUAGCUAGUUGGUGAGGUAACGGCUCACCAAGGCAACGAUGCGUAGCCGACCUGAGAGGGUGAUCGGCCACGCUGGAACUGAGACACGGCCCAGACUCCUACGGGAGGCAGCAGUAGGGAACCUUCCGCAAUGGACGAAAGUCUGACGGAGCAACGCCGCGUGAGUGAUGAAGGUUUUCGGAUCGUAAAACUCUGUUGUUAGGGAAGAACAAGUGUGAGAGUAACUGCUCACACCUUGACGGUACCUAACCAGAAAGCCACGGCUAACUACGUGCCAGCAGCCGCGGUAAUACGUAGGUGGCAAGCGUUGUCCGGAAUUAUUGGGCGUAAAGCGCGCGCAGGCGGUCUUUUAAGUCUGAUGUGAAAGCCCACGGCUCAACCGUGGAGGGUCAUUGGAAACUGGGAGACUUGAGUGCAGAAGAGAAGAGUGGAA
rnacentral:rRNA from 1 species